AGAAACACAAUGAUAUCCUGAGAAGGGCAAGAGCAGUGGGAGAUCCUUGGCAGGCGGUUUUAGGGAUGUACACGCGUUCACUUUCUCCCUUUGUGCCGACCAGUUUGACGUAAACACUGUGCAAUGUGCCGGCAAGCAGCAUUUCUCCAGUAAACACUGUUCAAUGUGCCGGCAAGCAGCAUUUCUCCAGUAAACACUUUCCCUGUGUACUUCACCAUGAUGAUUCUACACACAGCAAGACAACAUAUUAGACAUACUGCGUUACAAUUUGAGCCAACUCAAGAUGAUCAACUGCAACUAAAUGUUUGCCACAAUAAAUGGGUCGUUCCACAAAAAGUC